UUGUGCAAAUAAUUUAGGCACAUGUCACACCGAAUUCUUAAUUUGGGUUUAAUUUGAAUCACUCCCUCUCACUUCUUCGUGUUCUCUUCUCUCGCAUCAUCAACAAUGGCGGAAUACAAAACCCUUAAAAUCAACCAAAGAACCCCAAAUUCCUCCGUCUUCUACCUCUACCUCAAUCGCCCAUCUCAAUUCAACGCCUUAUCAAGAGAAUUCUUCGACGAAUUUCCAAUUGCCCUAAAAUCACUCGACCAAAACCCUAACGUCAACGCAAUCGUCCUUGCCGGCGCCGGAAAUCACUUUUGCUCCGGCAUAGACAUCAACCUCCUCGCAUCCUUCAAACAAUCGUCGGACCGCGGACGCUCCGGCGAGAAGCUUAGGAGAGAGAUUAAGCAUAUGCAAUCAGCUGUUACUGCAUUAGAAGAAUGCAGAAAACCAGUGAUUGUAAGUAUUCAUGGAGCUUGUAUUGGGGGUGGAAUUGAUAUAAUCACAGCUUGUGAUAUUAGGUAUUGUACAGAUGAUGCUGUUUUUUCCGUUAAGGAGGUUGAUGUAGGACUUACUGCUGAUUUAGGGACUCUUCAGAGAUUACCUGCAAUUGUUGGGUAUGGAAAUGCUGUUGAAUUGGCGUUGACGGCGAGGAAAUUUUCGGGUUCAGAAGCGAAAGGAUUGGGUUUGGUUUCUCGGGUUUUUGGUUCUAAAGAUGAUUUGGAUGAUUUUGUGGCUCACAUUGCUGAAGAAAUUGCGGCAAAAUCUCCCCUAGCCGUCACUGGUACUAAGGCAGUGCUACUAAAAAGCAAGGACCUCAGUUUAGACCAAGGGCUGGACUAUGUAGCUACGUGGAACUCUUCAAUGCUUCUUUCUGAUGACCUAAAAGAGGCAACCUCUGCCUUUUUCCAAAAACGAAAGCCAGUUUUUUCAAAGCUUUGAUGAACUUCAGUCUUCAAGGGUCCAGGAUCAUUGUCGUUCUUCAUGGUUGACGAGUCAAAGGUGAAUGAGCUCCUGCUAUUAGGAGAUUAGAGAACUUUAUGGUCCAUUUUCUCAUUAAGAUCUGAAAUGAAGCUUGGUUGGGGAAGCGAAGGAACUGUUCUCUCUCGUCUGCACUCGCUGCUGCGAAUUUGGAAGAUCCCUGGCUCCCUGCCAUCUAGACUCUGUGUGAAACCCUGAAAGCGUGCCUUAGAUAUGCCAUUAUUCCUUGUUUCUCUAGUCUGAAAGUCUCUUUAGAGAUAAGUAGUCCUUUCUACUGUUUGCCUUUUGAUAGAUUUUGUUCUUGCAUUUGCUUAUGAAGUUAGGUAUUGUGCUUCAAGAUUCCUGAAUCUGGCUAUAGUGUGCCCUGUUUUGAUAACCCUGUUGGUUAAAGUGUUCACGAGAGUUGACUGUUUUUUUUUA